rnacentral:rRNA from 2 species
CGGACCGAACGAGGGCUUGCUCUUGUUGGUCAGCGGCGGACGGGUGAGUAACACGUGGGCAACCUGCCCGCAAGACCGGGAUAACUCCGGGAAACCGGAGCUAAUACCGGAUAACACCGAAGACCGCAUGGUCUUCGGUUGAAAGGCGGCCUUUGGGCUGUCACUUGCGGAUGGGCCCGCGGCGCAUUAGCUAGUUGGUGAGGUAACGGCUCACCAAGGCGACGAUGCGUAGCCGGCCUGAGAGGGUGACCGGCCACACUGGGACUGAGACACGGCCCAGACUCC